rnacentral:tRNA from 1 species
CGGGCCGGAGUAUGCCGGUAGUACGCCUGAUUUGGGAUCAGGUAGACCGAGUUCGAUUCUCGGCGGCCCGACCA